rnacentral:lncRNA from 1 species
AUUGUAUAGCGUUUUCAUUCUGUACAUGAGAUUAUAAAAAUAAGAAAAAUGAAAUCUGCGGGUGGAAAAACAUUAUCGGGUAAUAAUCGUAGAUCGGCCAGUUAAAACGUUCCAUCCGAGGUAACAGUUAUAUUUCAGUCUGGGGAAAAUGGCAUAUGUAUAAGCUGAAUUUGAGUUUAGCUGAUUUUUCCUAAUUAUUACUAGUCGUACGGUCUCCACUCAUUUUUUUUUUCUAUCUUUUGUUCUCUUGAUUUCUUGUGCUUACUUCUAACCUGUUUCAUAUAUAUAGUCUUUUCAACUCACAUUAUUUUGCCAGAUUAAAGGAUAAUUGAGUGUUCACUUUUUUACCGCCCCAUUCUGAUUCAGCAAUGAGCAUUACG